UUUUGGAUAAGGGAGGGGGCCCUUACCCGGUAAAAAGGCCCGCCGGGUUUGGGUGGGUGGCGGGUUUUUUGGGGGGGUAUUAGGGUUUCGGCGAAGGGAGGUUGGGGGCAAAACAGGGUUGGGGAGGCCUUAGGAGGUUUGGGGCGGCCGGGGGGUACCAUGGCAGGGGCCGAGGGGUUAUUUCCUUGGCCGGAAGGCCUGGGUAAUCUUGUGAAACUUUGUCGUGCUGGGGAUAGAGCAUUGCAAUUAUUGCUCUUCAACGAGGAAUUCCUAGUAAGCGUGAGUCAUCAGCUCGCGUUGAUUACGUCCCUGCCGUACCUGCCAGUG
rnacentral:rRNA from 1 species